CCUACGGGUGGCAGCAGUGAGGAAUAUUGGUCAAUGGACGAGAGUCUGAACCAGCCAAGUAGCGUGAAGGAUGACUGCCCUAUGGGUUGUAAACUUCUUUUAUAUGGGAAUAAAAUGUUCCACGUGUGGGAUUUUGUAUGUACCAUAUGAAUAAGGAUCGGCUAACUCCGUGCCAGCAGCCGCGGUAAUACGGAGGAUCCGAGCGUUAUCCGGAUUUAUUGGGUUUAAAGGGAGCGUAGGUGGAUUGUUAAGUCAGUUGUGAAAGUUUGCGGCUCAACCGUAAAAUUGCAGUUGAAACUGGCAGUCUUGAGUACAGUAGAGGUGGGCGGAAUUCGUGGUGUAGCGGUGAAAUGCUUAGAUAUCAUGAAGAACUCCGAUUGCGAAGGCAGUUCACUGGACUGCAACUGACACUGAGGCUCGAAAGUGUGGGUAUCAAACAGGAUUAGAUACCCGAGUAGUC
rnacentral:rRNA from 1 species